UACAGAGGUCUCAAGCGUUGUUCGGAUUCAUUGGGCGUAAAGGGUGCGUAGGCGGCGCGGUAAGUCGGGUGUGAAAUCUCGGAGCUUAACUCCGAAAACUGCAUUCGAUACUGCCCGUGCUCGAGUACUGGAGAGGAGACUGGAAUUUUACGGUGUAGCAGUGAAAAUGCGUAGAUAUCGUAAGGAAGACCAGUGGCGAAGGCGAGUCUCUGGACAGUUACUGACGCUGAGGCACGAAGGCCAGGGGGAGCAAAGCGGG
rnacentral:rRNA from 1 species